rnacentral:rRNA from 1 species
AGUGAACGCUGGCGGUAGGCCUAAUACAUGCAAGUCGAACGGCAGCACAGUAAGAGCUUGCUCUUACGGGUGGCGAGUGGCGGACGGGUGAGGAAUACAUCGGAAUCUACUUUUUCGUGGGGGAUAACGUAGGGACACAUACGCUAAUACCGCAUACGACCUACGGGUGAAAGCAGUGGAUAUUCGGACCUUGCGCGAUUGAAUGAGCCGAUGUCGGAUUAGCUAGUUGGCGAGGUAAAGGCCCACCAAGGCGACGAUCCGUAGCUGGUCUGAGAGGAUGAUCAGCCACACUGGAACUGAGACACGGUCCAGACUCCUACGGGAGGCAGCAGUGGGGAAUCUUCGACAAUGGGCGAAAGCCUGAUCCAGCCAUGCCGCGUGAGUGAAGAAGGUCUUCGGGUCGUAAAGCCCUUUUGUUGGGAAAGAAAAGCAGCGUAUGUAACCCCCGCUGUUCUGACGGUACCCAAAGAGUAAGCACCGGCUAACUUCGUG